AGGAUAAUAGUUAAUAUUAACAUUUAAGUUGCAUUUAAAAAAAAUUGAUUCAAAAAUCAAUUUAUCUUA
rnacentral:tRNA from 1 species